CCUUUGGACAUUGUAAACAAUAUUAUUAAUACUCAAAUUAUCAAUUAUCAAAAUUAUCAAUGUCUGUCAUUUUAUGAGUAGUUUUCAGCUUUCGCCUUAAAUAUCGGAGUCGAACAGUUAUUCGUCAGUGUAGUCUCGUCGGUGUGAUCCAGAUAGGAGUGCUUCCAAAGCCAACCAGGCUCAGCUACUCAGGAGAAACGCUAACUCAAAAGACAGCUCAACACAACUGUAAUCAUUCAACCAGACAACAUCAACUUAGAAUAUUUGGAACAUUUUGGACUUUAACUUUAAACUGUGAAUUGGAUUAGUGAAAUUAGUGACUUUAUUAUUUGGAACAUUUGGACUUUAUUUGUUUGUAAAUUGUUUUGGCAUCAUUAUUAUUAUUUGGACCUGUUACUAUAUAAAAUUGUUACAACUUGCUGCUUGCUUUAUAGUUUUGCCUGCCAUUGCUUAAGUCUUGCGAAAGACUGACCCCCUGUGCCUUGGGCUGUGCAUGUUCGAUAGUCCCCCUUAAACUCGACGUGCAUUGGCUCUUGGUGACAGAUUUGGUGGCGGGCCCGUUGGCAUCAUUUCGAUCCAUUUAGCUUUGGCAUGGCAUUAUUAUUAGCAACAGCUUUCAAAAUUACUUUUAAAUUAUCUACUUACAAAAUUUGUGAAGAAAUUUCAUAAAUAAAAUUCAACUAAAGGAACAGCAGAGAAUGAGAAUCAA
rnacentral:lncRNA from 1 species